AACGAACGCUGGCGGCAGGCUUAACACAUGCAAGUCGAACGCCCCGCAAGGGGAGUGGCAGACGGGUGAGUAACGCGUGGGAACGUGCCCUUCGCUUCGGAAUAGCCCCGGGAAACUGGGAGUAAUACCGAAUACGCCGUAUUGGGAAAGAUUUAUCGGCGAAGGAUCGGCCCGCGUUAGAUUAGCUAGUUGGCGGUGUAAUGGACCACCAAGGCUACGAUCUAUAGCUGGUCUGAGAGGAUGAUCAGCCAGACUGGGACUGAGACACGGCCCAGACUCCUACGGGAGGCAGCAGUGGGGAAUCUUGGACAAUGGGCGCAAGCCUGAUCCAGCCAUGCCGCGUGAGUGAAGAAGGCCUUAGGGUUGUAAAACUCUUUCGCCGGAGAAGAUAAUGACGGUAUCCGGAGAAGAAGCCCCGGCUAACUUCGUGCCAGCCGCCGCAGUAAAAC
rnacentral:rRNA from 1 species